UUCAACGUUUGAAUAAGACAUUGAAUUGCACUAGUACUUAUGAAAAAGGUACUAUAAGUAGAUAUAUCUUCAACGAAACAUCUAGAGAAUGCCAAAGAGCAGACGUUAAGAACGGAGAUAAGCACUUUCCGUCGUUUCGAAAGUGCGUGCAUGACUGUAACCCAAACAACAAAUCAAACCC
rnacentral:lncRNA from 1 species